rnacentral:telomerase_RNA from 1 species
GCGGCUUUUGAGGAUGUCCUUUGUCCGUAUCAUCAUGCCAUUCGUUCCUGAUGGAAGCGAAGAGGAAACAAAGACUAGUC